rnacentral:rRNA from 1 species
CCUACGGGAGGCAGCAGUGAGGAAUAUUGGUCAAUGGACGAGAGUCUGAACCAGCCAAGUAGCGUGAAGGAUGACUGCCCUAUGGGUUGUAAACUUCUUUUAUAUGGGAAUAAAACGUUCCACGUGUGGGAUUUUGUAUGUACCAUAUGAAUAAGGAUCGGCUAACUCCGUGCCAGCAGCCGCGGUAAUACGGAGGAUCCGACCGUUAUCCGGAUUUAUUGGGUUUAAAGGGAGCGUAGGUGGAUUGUUAAGUCAGUUGUGAAAGUUUGCGGCUCAACCGUAAAAUUGCAGUUGAAUCUGGCAGUCUUGAGUACAGUAGAGGUGGGCGGAAUUCGUGGUGUAGCGGUGAAAUGCUUAGAUAUCACGAAGAACUCCGAUUGCGAAGGCAGUUCACUGGACUGCAACUGACACUGAGGCUCGAAAGUGUGGGUAUCAAACAGGAUUAGAUACCCCUGAAGUC